UACGUAGGGUGCAAGUGUUAAUCGGAAUUACUGGGCGUAAAGCGUGCGUAGGCGGUUGUGUAAGACAGAUGUGAAAUCCCCGGGCUCAACCUGGGAACUGCAUUUGUGACUGCACAGCUGGAGUGCGGCAGAGGGGGAUGGAAUUCCGCGUGUAGCAGUGAAAUGCGUAGAUAUGCGGAGGAACACCGAUGGCGAAGGCAAUCCCCUGGGCCUGCACUGACGCUCAUGCACGAAAGCGUGGGGAGCAAACAGG
rnacentral:rRNA from 1 species